rnacentral:rRNA from 1 species
AUUGAACGCUGGCGGCAGGCCUAACACAUGCAAGUCGAGCGGAUGAAGGGAGCUUGCUCCUGGAUUCAGCGGCGGACGGGUCAGUAAUGCCUAGGAAUCUGCCUGGUAGUUGUGUAUAACGUCCUGAAACGGGCGCUAAUACCGCAUACGUCCUUAGGGAGAAAGUGGGGGAUCUUCGGACCUCACGCUAUCACAUGAUCCUAUGUCGGAUUAGCUAGUUGGCGGGGUAACGGCCUACCAAGGCGACGAUCCGUAACUGGUCUGAGAGGAUGAUCAGUCACACUGGAACUGAGACACGGUCCAGACUCCUACGGGAGGCAGCAGUGGGGAAUAUUGGACAAUGGGCGAAAGCCUGAUCCAGCCAUGCCGCGUGUGUGAAGAAGGUCUUCGGAUUGUAAAGCACUUUAAGUUGGGAGGAAGGGCAGUAAGUUAAUACCUUGCUGUUUUGACGUUACCAACAGAAUAAGCACCGGCUAACUUCGUG